UACGUAGGGAGCAAGCGUUGUUCGGGUUUACUGGGCGUAAAGGGCGCGUAGGCGGCGCGGUAAGUCACUUGUGAAAUCUCUGAGCUUAACUCAGAACGGCCAAGUGAUACUGCAGUGCUAGAGUGCAGAAGGGGCAAUCGGAAUUCUUGGUGUAGCGGUGAAAUGCGUAGAUAUCAAGAGGAACACCUGAGGUGAAGACGGGUUGCUAGGCUGACACUGACGCUGAGGCGCGAAAGCUAGGGGAGCAAACGGG
rnacentral:rRNA from 1 species